rnacentral:rRNA from 1 species
GACGAACGCUGGCGGCGUGCUUAACACAUGCAAGUCGAACGGAAAGGCCCUACUUUUGUGGGGUGCUCGAGUGGCGAACGGGUGAGUAACACGUGAGUAACCUGCCCUUGACUUUGGGAUAACUUCAGGAAACUGGGGCUAAUACCGGAUAGGAGCUCCUGCUGCAUGGUGGGGGUUGGAAAGUUUCGGCGGUUGGGGAUGGACUCGCGGCUUAUCAGCUUGUUGGUGGGGUAGUGGCUUACCAAGGCUUUGACGGGUAGCCGGCCUGAGAGGGUGACCGGCCACAUUGGGACUGGGGUGCGGGCAGGAGUGGUAGGGGAGGGAGGAGGGGGGGAGAUUGCAGACUGGGCGGAAGCGUGAUGCAGCAGGGCCGCGGGCGGGAGGACGGCGUGCGGUUUUUGUCCCGCGUUCGGGGGGGUGGAAGGGUGGGUGAGGGUAAGGGUUAAAGAAGCACCUGAAAACGCGGGGCCAGCAGCCGAGGUAAGAGGGAAGGCGCACAUGUCUGCAC